rnacentral:misc_RNA from 1 species
GAUGAAGAACGUAGCGAAAUGCGAUAAGUAAUGUGAAUUGCAGAAUUCAGUGAAUCAUCGAAUCUUUGAACGCACAUUGCGCCCGCCAGCAUUCUGGCGGGCAUGCCUGUUCGAGCGUCAUUCCAACCCUCAAGCUCUGCUUGGUGUUGGGGCCCUACGGUUGACGUAGGCCCUUAAAGGUAGUGGCGGACCCUCUCGGAGCCUCCUUUGCGUAGUAACUAACGUCUCGCAUUGGGAUUCGGAGGGACUCUUGCCGUAAAACCCCCAAAUUUUCUAAUGGUUGACCUCGGAUCAGGUAGGAAUACCCGCUGAACUUAAGCAUAUCAAUAAGCGGAGGA